rnacentral:rRNA from 1 species
AGUGAACGCUGGCGGUAGGCCUAACACAUGCAAGUCGAACGGCAGCACAGUAAGAGCUUGCUCCUACGGGUGGCGAGUGGCGGACGGGUGAGGAAUACAUCGGAAUCUACUUUUUCGUGGGGGAUAACGUAGGGAAACUUACGCUAAUACCGCAUACGACCUACGGGUGAAAGCAGUGGUUCUUCGGACCUUGCGCGAUUGUAUGAGCCGAUGUCGGAUUAGCUAGUUGGCGGGGUAAAGGCCCACCAAGGCGACGAUGCGUAGCUGGUCUGAGAGGAUGAUCAGCCACGCUGGAACUGAGACACGGUCCAGACUCCUACGGGAGGCAGCAGUGGGGAAUAUUGGACAAUGGGCGAAAGCCUGAUCCAGCCAUACCGCGUGGGUGAAGAAGGCCUUCGGGUUGUAAAGCCCUUUUGUUGGGAAAGAAAAGCAGCAGGUUAAUACCCCGCUGUUCUGACGGUACCCAAAGAAUAAGCACCGGCUAACUUCGUG